ACCGGUCGAAUAUUUCUUUCUCUCUUUCAUCUCUCUGUCUCUCUCUUUCUCUCUCGAUCGAAGACCAAAAUUGACAAAGGAUUGAGAUGGAUUUGAUUUUGGAGUCGAUUGAUUCGGAUGAGAUUGAAGCAAUUGGAAUCGGAAGCCUUUUGAAAUUCAGAAUGAGCAUCAGGAGCAGGCAAAAGCUAUCUUAGAAGAUAUCAAUGUAGAUGCCAAGCUGCUGAACCCUAUUCCAAAUAAACGAGAACGAAGACCGGUAUUAGACCCCCGUCAGCGGAAAAGCUUUUCUCUUGACCUUCCGACAAGUCAACCACUUCCAGCUCUACCAAGCUUUGGUGGUAGUAAAAUUCCAAGACCUGAAGAGUACUUUGCUGAAUAUGAUAAAUAUGAUAAGUACUUUUCAUACUCAAUUAUUUGUCUUUUCUAAAUUCUGUAGUGCCUAUUUUUCUGAGAUGUGACUCUUCCUUCAAGCAUUCUCUUCUCAUUAUUCUCAGAUCACACUCAACCUUCUUUUACAUAUUUUCUUUUGCCUGAACUUGUAUCUCUCUUCCUUGCAGAUUUUGAUGACAUCGAUGAUGAAGACAUCGAGACUGAUUUUUCGUCUUGGACAACUCACAUGUUACGUGGGACUUGGCUAUCGAGUAAUCAUGACAUAUGGUGGCGGAAAUGAAGGAGCUGCUGGUGGUGAUAGUGGAGGAGCUAAUGCCAACUCUUCCGAUCCACCUGCUAAACGGAACAGGGGACGUCCUCCUGGCUCCGGUAAGAAGCAGCUCGAUGCUUUAGGUACAGCUCGAUGCUUUAGGAGGAACAGGAGGAGUUGGGUUUACACCUCAUGUCAUUGAAGUUAAAACUGGAGAGGGCAUAGCUAUGAAGGUAAUGGCGUUUACGGGGCCACGCACCAUCUGUAUUCUCUCAGCUACAGGAUCUGUUUUCUAUGUUUAAUAUUUUAUCAAAAUGCAAUAAUUUUAUAAACAUCAUUCUUAAUAUUCAAUAAUUUCAUAUUGUACUUUAA